rnacentral:rRNA from 1 species
GGUUGAUCCCGCCGGACCCUACUGCUAUCGGGAUGGGACUAAGACAUGCUAGUCGAGCGUCUCCAAGCUAUGAUAGAGACGCGGCACACAGCUCAGUAACACGUGGCUAACCUGCCCUUGGGACAAGGACAACUCCGGGAAACUGGAGGUAAUCCCUGAUAAGUGAGAACUCCUGGAAUGGAUUUUCGCUAAAAGGGUGCUUAGAUCAUGCUUCUAGACGUCGCCCAAGGAGGGGGCCGCGGCCGAUCAGAUUGUUGGUGAGGUGACGGCUCACCAAGCCUUUAACCGGUACGGGCCGUGAGAGCGGAAGCCCGGAGAUGGGCACUGAGACAAGGGCCCAGGCCCUACGGGGCGCAGCAGUCGCGAAAACUCCGCAAUACACGAAAGUGUGACGGGGCCAUCCCGACUGCCAUCCGNUGAGGAUGGCUUUUGCCUAAUAUAUAAAGCUGGGGGAAUAAGGAGAGGGCAACCUUGGUGCCAGCCGCCGCGGUAA